CCUACGGGAGGCAGCAGUGGGGAAUAUUGCACAAUGCCCGAAAGGGUGAUGCAGCGACGCCAUGUGAGCGAAGAAGGCCUUCGGGUUGUAAAGCUCUUUUAUUUGGGAAGAAUGGCUGUUAUAGGGAAUGAUGACAGCAGAGACGGUACCAAGUGAAUAAGCCCCGGCUAAUUCCGUGCCAGCAGCCGCGGUAAU
rnacentral:rRNA from 1 species